rnacentral:tRNA from 1 species
GCGAAAGUGGCGGAAUUGGUAGACGCGCCAGACUUAGGAUAUGGUACCUUCGGGUAUGUGGGUUCAAGUCCCGCCUUUCGCA